rnacentral:rRNA from 1 species
GAUAAACGCUGGCGGCGUGCUUAACACAUGCAAGUCGAACGGGGUGCCUUUGAAAGAGGAUUCGUCCAAUUGAGAAGGUUACCUAGUGGCGGACGGGUGAGUAACGCGUGAGUAACCUGCCUUGGAGUGGGGAAUAACACAUCGAAAGAUGUGCUAAUACCGCAUAAUGCAGUUGGGCCGCAUGGCUCUGACUGCCAAAGAUUUAUCGCUCUGAGAUGGACUCGCGUCUGAUUAGCUGGUUGGCGGGGUAACGGCCCACCAAGGCGACGAUCAGUAGCCGGACUGAGAGGUUGACCGGCCACAUUGGGACUGAGACACGGCCCAGACUCCUACGGGAGGCAGUAGUGGGGAAUAUUGGGCAAUGGGCGCAAGCCUGACCCAGCAACGCCGCGUGAAGGAAGAAGGCUUUCGGGUUGUAAACUUCUUUUAUCAGGGACGAAGCAAGUGACGGUACCUGAUGAAUAAGCCACGGCUAACUACGUGCCAGCAGCCGCGGUAAUAC